rnacentral:rRNA from 1 species
CCUACGGGCGGCAGCAGUGGGGAAUAUUGGGCAAUGGGCGCAAGCCUGACCCAGCAACGCCGCGUGAAGGAAGAAGGCUUUCGGGUUGUAAACUUCUUUUGUCAGGGACGAAGCAAGUGACGGUACCUGACGAAUAAGCCACGGCUAACUACGUGCCAGCAGCCGCGGUAAUACGUAGGGGGCAAGCGGUAUCCGGAUUUAUUGGGUGUAAAGGGCGUGGAGGCGGGAAUGCAAGUCAGCUGUGAAAACUAUGGGCUCAACCCAUAGCCUGCAUUUGAAACUGUAUUUCUUGAGUGCUGGAGAGGAGAGCGGAAUUCCGUGUGUAGGGGUGAAAUGCGUAGAUAUACGGAGGAACACCAGUGGCGAAGGCGGAUUGCUGGACAGUAACUGACGCUGAGGCGCGAAAGCGUGGGGAGCAAACAGGAUUAGAUACCCUUGUAGUC